UACGUAGGCAGCAAGCGUUGUUCGGAAUUACUGGGCGUAAAGCGCGUGUAGGCUGCUUCGAAAGUCGGAUGUGAAAGCCCUGGGCUCAACCUAGGAAGUGCAUUCGAAACUUCGAAGCUGGAGUCCUGGAGAGGAAGGCGGAAUUCUCGGUGUAGAGGUGAAAUUCGUAGAUAUCGAGAGGAACACCGGUGGCGAAGGCGGCCUUCUGGACAGUGACUGACGCUGAGACGCGAAAGCGUGGGGAGCAAACAGG
rnacentral:rRNA from 1 species